GAAUCCAGAGAUCCGCCGCGGGAGUUGGUGUACAGGAACCUCUCCUGGUUUUUUCUCCUGAUAUCGUUGGCCUUCUCAGUGAUGUAGUCGAGGUAGGAGUUGAGGAUGAGGUGCUUGUCCCCCUUCUUGAUUCGCAGAGUGAACCCCCGCUUCUCCUCCGGCAGCGGCCGCCACGAGAAGGUCUGUGACUGCCGCUGCGUCACGACGUGCUCCCAGAGGACGGAGACCCCGUUGAAGGUGUCCACCAGGGAGUCGUUGUUGGAGAGGCCGAAGGUGGUGGACGAGGAAUUCAAGGCCCGGGUGAGGCUCAGCCUGCUGCCGGUGAUGGAGGCGGAGGAGCUCAGGUAGAGCUGGACAGCGUUGUAGAGCUCGUUGGUGUUGACGCCAUCGAUUUCAGUGAUAUCGAAGUAGCAGUAGGAGGAGCAGUUGAAGAGGCGUUUGAAGAGCUUCAGCACUGCAAACCGGAGCUCCGGCGGGAACACGGCGUGGAGGAUGCUCUGGCAGAAGGCCAGCACCCCCAGAAGGGACGCAAGAGACGACCAAAACUCCUUCAUUCUCUCCCUUCCUCAAAAACAAAAAGUUACAACAAAAGCAAAAAGAUUAACACCAAAGAUGAAGAAACAAGCACAUCUCUUUCAAUCCAAGGGAGA
rnacentral:lncRNA from 1 species